rnacentral:rRNA from 1 species
GACGAACGCUGGCGGCGUGCCUAAUACAUGCAAGUCGAGCGAAGUUUUUCUGGUGCUUGCCCCGGAAAGACUUAGCGGCGCACGGGUGAGUAACACGUAAAGAACCUGCCUCAUAGACUGGGACAACUAUUGGAAACGAUAGCUAAUACCGGAUAAUAGCAUUAACUGCAUGGUUGAUGUUUAAAAGUUGGUUUUGCUAACACUAUGAGAUGGCUUUGCGGUGCAUUAGCUAGUUGGUGGGGUAAAGGCCUACCAAGGCGACGAUGCAUAGCCGACCUGAGAGGGUGAUCGGCCACACUGGAACUGAGACACGGCCCAGACUCCUACGGGAGGCAGCAGUAGGGAAUCUUCCGCAAUGGGCGAAAGCCUGACGGAGCAACGCCGCGUGAGUGAAGAAGGAUUUCGGUUCGUAAAGCUCUGUUGUUAGGGAAGAAUGAUUGUGUAGUAACUAUACACAGUAGAGACGGUACCUAACCAGAAAGCCACGGCUAACUACGUG